rnacentral:rRNA from 1 species
GAGUCUUAAUUGGGCGUUAAGUUGCAGGGUAUAGACCCGAAACCCGGUGAUCUAGCCAUGGGCAGGUUGAAGGUUGGGUAACACUAACUGGAGGACCGAACCGACUAAUGUUGAAAAAUUAGCGGAUGACCUGUGGCUGGGGGUGAAAGGCCAAUCAAACCGGGAGAUAGCUGGUUCUCCCCGAAAGCUAUUUAGGUAGCGCCUCGUGAAUUCAUCUCCGGGGGUAGAGCACUGUUUCGGCUAGGGGGCCAUCCCGGCUUACCAACCCGAUGCAAACUGCGAAUACCGGAGAAUGUUAUCACGGGAGACACACGGCGGGUGCUAACGUCCGUCGUGAAGAGGGAAACAACCCAGACCGCCAGCUAAGGUCCCAAAGUCAUGGUUAAGUGGGAAACGAUGUGGGAAGGCCCAGACAGCCAGGAUGUUGGCUUAGAAGCAGCCAUCAUUUAAAGAAAGCGUAAUAGCUCACUGGUCGAGUCGGCCUGCGCGGAAGAUGUAACGGGGCUAAACCAUGCACCGAAGCUGCGGCAGCGAACGUAUCACCCAAGACAACUUUACGGAGUUGACGAUUGACGGAGCGAAGCGACGUCAAAGCGUUCAUUAAAGUCGAGUUGGCUUAGGGAUACGUUCGUUGGGUAGGGGAGCGUUCUGUAAGCCUGUGAAGGUGUGUCGUGAGGCAUGCUGGAGGUAUCAGAAGUGCGAAUGCUGACAUAAGUAACGAUAAAGCGGGUGAAAAGCCCGCUCGCCGGAAGACCAAGGGUUCCUGUCCAACGUUAAUCGGGGCAGGGUGAGUCGACCCCUAAGGCGAGGCCGAAAGGCGUAGUCGAUGGGAAACGGGUUAAUAUUCCCGUACUUGGUGUUACUGCGAAGGGGGGACGGAGAAGGCUAUGUUGGCCGGGCGACGGUUGUCCCGGUUUAAGCGUGUAGGUGUGUGUUCCAGGUAAAUCCGGUUCACUUUAACACUGAGGCGUGACGACGAGGCACUACGGUGCUGAAGCAACAAAUGCCCUGCUUCCAGGAAAAGCCUCUAAGCAUCAGGUAACACGAAAUCGUACCCCAAACCGACACAGGUGGUCAGGUAGAGAAUACCAAGGCGCUUGAGAGAACUCGGGUGAAGGAACUAGGCAAAAUGGUGCCGUAACUUCGGGAGAAGGCACGCUGACACGUAGGUGAAGUGAUUUACUCAUGGAGCUGAAGUCAGUCGAAGAUACCAGCUGGCUGCAACUGUUUAUUAAAAACACAGCACUGUGCAAACACGAAAGUGGACGUAUACGGUGUGACGCCUGCCCGGUGCCGGAAGGUUAAUUGAUGGGGUCAGCGCAAGCGAAGCUCCUGAUCGAAGCCCCGGUAAACGGCGGCCGUAACUAUAACGGUCCUAAGGUAGCGAAAUUCCUUGUCGGGUAAGUUCCGACCUGCACGAAUGGCGUAAUGAUGGCCAGGCUGUCUCCACCCGAGACUCAGUGAAAUUGAACUCGCUGUGAAGAUGCAGUGUACCCGCGGCAAGACGGAAAGACCCCGUGAACCUUUACUAUAGCUUGACACUGAACAUUGAGCCUUGAUGUGUAGGAUAGGUGGGAGGCUUUGAAGUGUGGACGCCAGUCUGCAUGGAGCCGACCUUGAAAUACCACCCUUUAAUGUUUGAUGUUCUAACGUGGACCCGUAAUCCGGGUUGCGGACAGUGUCUGGUGGGUAGUUUGACUGGGGCGGUCUCCUCCUAAAGAGUAACGGAGGAGCACGAAGGUUGGCUAAUCCUGGUCGGACAUCAGGAGGUUAGUGCAAUGGCAUAAGCCAGCUUGACUGCGAGCGUGACGGCGCGAGCAGGUGCGAAAGCAGGUCAUAGUGAUCCGGUGGUUCUGAAUGGAAGGGCCAUCGCUCAACGGAUAAAAGGUACUCCGGGGAUAACAGGCUGAUACCGCCCAAGAGUUCAUAUCGACGGCGGUGUUUGGCACCUCGAUGUCGGCUCAUCACAUCCUGGGGCUGAAGUAGGUCCCAAGGGUAUGGCUGUUCGCCAUUUAAAGUGGUACGCGAGCUGGGUUUAGAACGUCGUGAGACAGUUCGGUCCCUAUCUGCCGUGGGCGCUGGAGAACUGAGGGGGGCUGCUCCUAGUACGAGAGGACCGGAGUGGACGCAUCACUGGUGUUCGGGUUGUCAUGCCAAUGGCACUGCCCGGUAGCUAAAUGCGGAAGAGAUAAGUGCUGAAAGCAUCUAAGCACGAAACUUGCCCCGAGAUGAGUUCUCCCUGAGACUUAGAGUCUCCUGAAGGAACGUUGAAGACGACGACGUUGAUAGGCCGGGUGUGUAAGCGCAGCGAUGCGUUGAGCUAACCGGUACUAAUGAACCGUGAGGCUUAACCUUACAACGCCGAAG